ACAGCGACCUCAGAGUAGGUGAGACUACCCCCUAAAUUUAAGCAU
rnacentral:rRNA from 1 species